GUCUUACUGCUAGCCAAAGAUGACUAAGCAGAAACAAGGACUGUUACAUUGGCAUUAAUAAUGCCAGGCAGGGAGUGUUCUGCCUCUGUCAGAGGCUGUGUAUAAUUUAUGAUGGACAUUGCAUUUAUACUUACCUAAUCUUUGUUUAAUGUUUAAUAUGCUUUUCAUAUUUCAUUUACCUUUAUUUGCUGCUUAUGUGUAAUUUUGUAUAUGAGGACUUUUAUUUUGACAAGUCUAUGUGAGCGCAGCAUGUUGGGUAAUCAGGAAGCAGUAAGCAUUGUGUAGUGCACAUUGAGUGUAUGUUUGAGUUGCAUCCAAGUUAAUCCUUCUUCAAAAUGCUACAGAAGCACCGGUUUUUUACUCGGUUCAUUGACCUGUGAGUUUGCCCUGUAACUGCAUAGUGGACUAUUAAAGGAGCAAGGCGCUCAUUUCCUGGCUCUUGAACAGAGUUUGGCUGGCUGUUUAUUUAUAUCAACGCUUGGAUAGCAAAACAUAUAAAGAGAACAGUACAAAAGGAGUUGCUGAAGGAUUACGUUCUCCAGCGACUUCAAGACCGUGUGCUACAUGUAUUGAAGAGACAGCCUCUGGACACAGAUUAUUUGCAGUUUGUCUGCAGACAGGAGCUUGUACUAAUCAGUGCCUUGACUAAUAUAAUAAACAUUUCUGAGAAUGUUAUUUUAGCCCUUACACAUCUAAAUAUUGCGAUAAAUCGCCAGAUGGAUAGUGAAGAGGUGUGUGUAACAGUGGAUGUGGAAAGAGGUGGUGGUUGUGGAGGUCCAAGAUUGACAAUUUCAACAAACACUCUUAUCCACCUUAUUGAACUUGGUUUGCCUUUAAAAUGUGUUGCCAAUAUAUUGGGAGUGUCUCGAGCAACAUUGCAUAGAAGGAUGGCGGACAACAAUUUGUCAGUUACUGCACUGUACAGCACUUCUACCGAUGAAGAGUUAGAUGCUCUUGUGACAGAAGUGAAGAACUCUAUGCCAGAUGCAGGAUACAGAAUGGUCCGAGAGGCUCUCCUUGUAAAAGGCCACCGGGUUCAGUGGGACAGAGUCGUUGCAUCUAUGCAUCGGGUGGACAGUGUUGGUGUCUUGUCAAGAAUGACCAACCUAAGAUGCAUUGCUCGAAGAACAUAUAAAGUUCCUUAUCCCAAGUACAUAGUUCAUGUAGACACCAACCACAAACUCAUCAGGUAAGUCUGUGUGUAAUUUCACAAUUGUAUUUUGUAUAUUUGAGAAAUGCUGUCAAGUAAUAUAUCAGAGUAUAGUUAGAAAGACAUCUGUCAUUUUUAGCUGCUGGCCUUCUACUGCAUCAUUCACACUGUUUAAUUGUGAAAACCCAGCUUAAAAUCCUUUUGGGAUUUAAUGUUUUCUAAAUAAAAUUAUUCUACGUAAUGUAAUAACAUUUGGAAAAAAUAUUACCUUGAUAUUUGAUAACCGAGUAAGGUCAUGUUAAAGGGAUA